GAAGCAGAGGGGGCUUAGUGGUGGGGUGACUGCGUACCUUUUGUAUAAUGGGUCAGCGACUUAUAUUCUGUAGCAAGGUUAACCGAAUAGGGGAGCCGGAGGGAAACCGAGUCUUAAUUGGGCGUUAAGUUGCAGGGUAUAGACCCGAAACCCGGUGAUCUAGCCAUGGGCAGGUUGAAGGUUGGGUAACACUAACUGGAGGACCGAACCGACUAAUGUUGAAAAAUUAGCGGAUGACCUGUGGCUGGGGGUGAAAGGCCAAUCAAACCGGGAGAUAGCUGGUUCUCCCCGAAAGCUAUUUAGGUAGCGCCUCGUGAAUUCAUCUCCGGGGGUAGAGCACUGUUUCGGCUAGGGGGCCAUCCCGGCUUACCAACCCGAUGCAAACUGCGAAUACCGGAGAAUGUUAUCACGGGAGACACACGGCGGGUGCUAACGUCCGUCGUGAAGAGGGAAACAACCCAGACCGCCAGCUAAGGUCCCAAAGUCAUGGUUAAGUGGGAAACGAUGUGGGAAGGCCCAGACAGCCAGGAUGUUGGCUUAGAAGCAGCCAUCAUUUAAAGAAAGCGUAAUAGCUCACUGGUCGAGUCGGCCUGCGCGGAAGAUGUAACGGGGCUAAACCAUGCACCGAAGCUGCGGCAGCGA
rnacentral:rRNA from 1 species